AAACAUGAGUUGAGGAUAGGGGAACAAAGAUAAACUAGGUUUCCUGGUGCACACUUGUAAUCCCAGCACACCAAGUACAGAAAUAAGAGGGUCAUAAAUUGGUGGUAAGACCAAAAAUAAAUACUUUUUUUUAAAUGGAGACAAUUAUUUGUUAGGAAGUUAGACUUCAGCUAGUCAACCUCACUUAAAGGCAGGCAAGCCAAGCACUAGUGGCUCUCACCUACGUUCCCAGUUUCUCAG